rnacentral:lncRNA from 10 species
AAUAAACUUACUUUUGCUUUGCACUGUGGACUUGCCCUGAAUUCUUUCUUGUGGGAGAUCGAAGAACUCUCUCUUGGUGUCCGGAUCGGGACUCCUUUCCGGUAACAUCACUAUGUUGCCCAGGCUGGUCUUGAACUCCUGGCCUCAAACCAUCCUAUAGAUUCGACCUCCGAAAGUGCUGGGGUUACAGGCAUAGCCACUGUGCCCAGCUGGAACAAUCUUUAUGAAGGUGAAUUAAAGCUGUGAGGCAUGAGACCAGAAAAGAUGCACCAGGAGUAAUGGAUUUUGGUGGAGAAUGAGCCACAGAAACGCGAUCAUGAGGCAAAUGGUGGGGCCUAACCCUGCCUUCUCAGUCCUCGGGAUGGGAGACCGGGCUAGAGAAGAGAAGGCUGGUGUGAAAACGCCGGGAGGCCCUCAUCGAGCCUCAUUCUCAGCCACAUCGUAAGGAUUUAGAGGCCCUAAGCACUGACGACGCUGUGGUGCCACAAAAAUAGACAAGCAGGGCAUGUGCGCUGAAGCUGGAAGAGGCUUCUUCCAUAUUUUCAUUGCAAAAUCAGAACUUUGAUGUCAAAGCAGGAAGUGCUUGGCUGGAACAUCUGCCGACAGCCUCAUCUCUUUCUGCAAGAUCAUGAUGUUCUGCAUGCUCCUGUGGCCUCUUAUUUCACGUUGCUCUCCCUGCAAAUUUUGAAACAACUUUAAAGAUGAAUAAAAAGCAGCUCAGCAAGUGAAUCCCAGAUCCCGGUAAGAGAGUGUCUCCCCCAACUCACAUAGUGAGUGCACAUCAUCCCCAGAACCACCAUGAGAGUGAGCCUGGUAGCGGGUAGCACCCUGCCUGUGACGAAGCCAGCACACUAUGACGAGCAGCAGCUUCUAGACCCAUGGACCACGGGCACUGCCAACGCUCUCCCUCCGGGGACUCCUCCUGCCUCCCAUACAGGGCCAAACUCCGACGCCCACGAGCUCGCUCAGAAUUGGCUCAGGCUGCAAUCACUUCUCUUCUCCUACCUCCACACCAUUCCCUGAUGGUGGACAGCUUCUCCUUUGAGAACCACACCUGCCUUUUCAGACAAAAGGAGACACCACCCACCCUCCUGCUGAGGGCUGCUCCCCUGGGGCCUUCUCAGCACACCUCUCUCUCUCUAGGUCAAAAAACAAAUUUCACAUGCUGAAUUUUUACCUUUUUUAAAGUGACUCCGAAUUUUGGCACCAGCAAUUAAUUCAACACUUGAAUAAGAUUUGAAAACCUCACAACAAAUCACAAAUAUAUUAUGGGUCCUGUU